rnacentral:rRNA from 1 species
UAGGGAAUCUUGGUCAAUGGGCGCAAGCCUGAACCAGCCAUGCCGCGUGCAGGAUGAAGGCCCUACGGGUCGUAAACUGCUUUUAAUCGGGAAGAAAAAGUCUGUUUAGACAGGCCUUGACGGUACCGAUUGAAUAAGGGCCGGCUAACUCCGUGCCAGCAGCCGCGGUAAUACGGAGGGCCCGAGCGUUAUCCGGAUUCACUGGGUUUAAAGGGUGCGCAGGCGGUCGAGUAAGUCAGUGGUGAAAUCCUUCGGCUCAACCGGAGAAUUGCCAUUGAAACUACUUGACUUGAGUGUAGUCGAGGCAGGCGGAAUGUAGCAUGUAGCGGUGAAAUGCAUAGAUAUGCUACAGAACACCGAUUGCGAAAGCAGCUUGCUAGGCUACUACUGACGCUGAGGCACGAAAGCGUGGUUAGCAAACA